rnacentral:piRNA from 1 species
UAUAUUUGUGGCUGUGACCAGCUGGUGCAGA